rnacentral:rRNA from 1 species
CUUUACUAUAACUUUACAGUGGCACGUCGAUUGUUUUGUGCAGCAUAGGUGGGAGCCUUUGAAGCCGUCACGUCAGUGGCGGUGGAGGCACAGGUGAGAUACCACCCUGAAUUUUUGCCGUGUCUAACCUCGUCCCGUUAUCCGGGACAGGGACCCUGUAUGGUGGGUAGUUUGACUGGGGCGGUCGCCUCCCAAAUUGUAACGGAGGCGCGCGAUGGUGAGCUCAGGACGGUCGGAAAUCGUCCUUCGAGUGCAAUGGCAUAAGCUCGCUUGACUGCGACACUGACACGUGGAGCAGAGACGAAAGUCGGUCAUAGUGAUCCGGUGGUUCCUCAUGGAAGGGCCAUCGCUCAACGGAUAAAAGGUA